GAGUUAAGCCAAAAACUGAACUGAACCAAGCUGAGCCGAACUGAGCUGAAGAACUGGAGCGUGGCUCCCAAACUUAAUACUUAACAGCACGUGACUUUUGUGAACCGCAAGGACGAAGACAGGUGGAACGGAAGCACCAAGUUAUUAAGGACGGCAGGCAGCGAGAAAAGCUGACUCUAUUAACAGAGCAAACAGGCUAAAAAAAAAAAGACAGAAAAAAAGUAAAAGUAAAAGGAAAA